rnacentral:rRNA from 1 species
GACGAACGCUGGCGGCGCGCCUAACACAUGCAAGUCGAGCGAUGAAAUUUUAACCGAUCUCUUCGGAGAGAAGAUAAAAUGGAUUAGCGGCGGACGGGUGAGUAACACGUUAGAAACCUGCCUUUCACAAGGGGAUAGCCUCGGGAAACCGGGAUUAAUACCCUAUGACACAUUUCCUUCGCAUGGAAGAAAUGUUAAAACUCCGGUGGUGAAAGAUGGUCUCGCGCCUGAUUAGCUAGUUGGUGGGGUAACGGCCCACCAAGGCCAAGAUCAGUAACCGGCAUGAGGGGGUGAACGGUAACAUUGGAAGUGGGACAAGUUCCAAACUCCUACGGGAGGGAGCAGUGGGGAAUAUUGCACAAUGGAGGAAACUCUGAGGCAGCGAGGCCGCGUGAGCGAUGAAGGCUGUCGAGUCGUAAAGCUCUGUCCUAUGGGAAGAUAAUGACGGAACCAUAGGAGGAAGCCCCGCCUAACUACGU